AACGCACGAGACCUGCGGACCUGCGGAAGGAUCAUUACCGAGUACCGGGUCUUCUAGGCCCUUACUCCCACCCUUUGUGUACCUAAACCUCUGUUCGUUGCCUCGGCGGGGUCGAUCCCAUUAGGGGGACCCGCCGGGGGGACACCACUAAACUCUUGUUAACAGUGAAGUCUGAGAACAAACUUAAUAAGUUAAAACUUUCAACAAUGGAUCUCU
rnacentral:misc_RNA from 1 species